GACGAACGCUGGCGGCGUGCUUAACACAUGCAAGUCGAACGGAAAGGCCCUGCUUUUGUGGGGUGCUCGAGUGGCGAACGGGUGAGUAACACGUGAGUAACCUGCCCUUGACUUUGGGAUAACUUCAGGAAACUGGGGCUAAUACCGGAUAGGAGCUCCUGCUGCAUGGUGGGGGUUGGAAAGUUUCGGCGGUUGGGGAUGGACUCGCGGCUUAUCAGCGUGUUGGUGGGGUAGUGGCUUACCAAGGCUUUGACGGGUAGCCGGCCUGAGAGGGUGACCGGCCACAUUGGGACUGAGAUACGGCUCAGACUCCUACGGGAGGCAGCAGUGGGGAAUAUUGCACAAUGGGCGGAAGCCUGAUGCAGCAACGCCGCGUGCGGGAUGACGGCCUUCGGGUUGUAAACCGCUUUCGCCUGUGGCGAAGCGUGAGUGACGGUAAUGGGUAAAGAAGCACCGGCUAACUACGUG
rnacentral:rRNA from 1 species